rnacentral:rRNA from 1 species
GACGAACGCUGGCGGCGUGCUUAACACAUGCAAGUCGAACGGAAAGGCCCUGCUUUUGUGGGGUGCUCGAGUGGCGAGCGGGUGAGUAACACGUGAGUAACCUGUCCUUGUCUUUGUGAUAACUUCAGGAAACUGGGGCUAAUACAGGAUAGGAGCUCCUGCAGCGUGGUGGGGGUUGGUAAGAUUCGGCGGUGGGGGCUGGACUCGCGGGUUAUCAGCUUGUUGGGGAGGUUGUGGCUUACCAAGGCUUUGACGGGUACCCGGCCUGAGAGGGGGACCGGCCACCAGGGUACUAGGAUACGGCCCAGGAGCCAACGGGAGGCAGCAGUCGAAAAUAUUGCACAAUGGGCCGACGCCUGAUGCAGCAGCGCCGCGUGCGGGAUGACGGCCUUCGGGUUGUAAACCGCUUUCGCCUGUGACGAAGCGUGAGUGACGGUAAUGAGUAAAGAAGCACCGGCUAACUACGUG